UCGCUCCUACCGAUUGAAUGAUCCGGUGAAGUCAGUGAACCAAUGAUAUGGUUUGGGUUUUCUGAAUCGUGUCGUUGGGAAAUUGAUUAAACCUUAUCAUUUAGAGGAAGGAG
rnacentral:rRNA from 1 species